GAUAGGGGAACACAGACUAAAACCGCUACAUCCUGUGGCAACAUCUCAACGUCUGCAUGACCUACAUCCUGUAGG
rnacentral:sRNA from 2 species